GGCGGCAUAGCCAAGCGGUAAGGCCAAGGUCUGCAAAACCUUUAUCACCGGUUCGAUUCCGGUUGCCGCCUCCA
rnacentral:tRNA from 2 species